UUUUUUCUGACUGACGGCCGGAAUGCCGCCAAAAGGCUGAUAACAUCGACUGAUUUCUAGUCUGGAUGUAGUCGGCAACGUCGGAGAUGUAUUUUGGAUCCUCUUCUUGUGAAUGCCAUAGUAUCGAUGAUAACAUCAACUGUUUGUGGUCAUGUCGUCUGCAUCGGAGGUGUAUUGGAGUCUUUUCCUGUGAUUGCCGUCGUAGCGGUGCUAACAACAGGUGAGCUUCCAUCAACUUAACUAACGUUAAUGUUACUAAAUUAGCCAAAUUAGCCUCUAGCUGCUGUUCUCCACUA